GGAUCUUUAGCUCAGUUGGUUAGAGUGCUUCCUUGACAUGGAAGAGGUCACCGGUUCGAAUCCGGUAAGAUCCA
rnacentral:tRNA from 1 species